CACCUGUUUGCAUUAGAUACAGAACACUCCGCAGGGUUCCGAGUAGGCAGUUGUGGCCCACAGGCCACUGGCAAACAGAGGCAGAGCCACAGAGGGGCUGCUCGUCCCCAAAUGUCUCUCCAGCCGCUCUGAAGCUGCUGCAGGCUGCUGUGCUGGUCCAUGGAGAAGGUGGAACACUGGACUAAAGAGACAGGCUGAGGAAGCCCUCAAGUCACCCCUGAUGGAGGCCAGACCUUGAAUGUUACAAUCCCUCUGCUUAUCGACCCUUAAUAAAAAUCUGAGCAGGUCUUCUCUGCAGGACACAGGAGGCUUUCUGGAAAAAAAAACAUGGAAAAAAAGUCUGGAAGUGCUCGACCAAGAGAUUGCGAGAUGGAAGCAGAGAGUACAGGAAAGGAAGGAGGAGAAAGAAAGGCUGGAAACCUUUGAAUGUACAAAAAAAACAGGUCAUGAAAGAUACCACGAGCCAACUAAAAUCUCUGGCUGAAAAUGUGCUGGACACCAUGCAGUUGGAAGAUUUCACUAGGGACCACAGUGAUGAGGGGAACUUGGAAGCAGAGCUAAAGAGGAAAGCAGAAAAUGAAGAAACCACCCCCCUUAAAAAUUAAGUAAAUUUUUUUUAAGUUAUGUGCAUACAUUCUGUAUAUACAGAAAAGAUAUCUAAAUUGUAUGCACGCAGAAGGAGCAUUGCCCCCACAAGGAACAGUUCAUCCUAAAUGGUGCAGAUGAAGAGACUUUGACAAAGGAAGUUUCCUGAGCUGUGGGCAGGGAUGAGAGCUCAGACGAAUGAUGGGAAACCUCCCAGAUGCCAAGGUUUCCCACCCCCGGGUUUCAAGGGAGGAGAGAGGAAGUGAUGUCAUCUGAGCCCAGUGAGGCCCUGUCAAGGGACUAGGGAAAACUGUCCCCACUUUUUGCUCCCAUCCUCUCAUUGACUGCAGGUGCACAGGCAGCUGCCUGAAAGAGGGCCUGCGAAGUGCAAGCCAGAGGAGUUGGCCUCCACGGCACAGAGCAGGCAGAAAACAAAUUUGGAGAAUGACCAGCACUCUUGGGUUUAUUUGACUGAAAGUGCUUGUUUUAUUGCAUUCACUCACAUCCAUUUAUUUAAUAAAUAUCCAUGGAGUGUCUAUCAUGUCUUCUGCACUGUUCUAGGGGCUUGGGAUACAGAGAUGAAAAAUACCAACCCGAUGAGGCCUGCAGACCACUAGAACUUACAUUUUAGUGAUGGGCAAGGUCAGGUAAUAAAAGACAAGCAAGUGAUGGGAAUACGUGCUCUGCAGACAUUUCCAAUCCAGUGAUGGGAGAACAGGGGCUAUGGGAGAGCACCCAGGAGGCAACAUUUAACCUGAGAUCUAAAAGUAAGAAGGAGGACCCUGGGAGGGUCAGGGGCAGAAUAUUGCAGGUAGAAGGUACAGGUAGGAUAAGACCAGGAGAACUCUGCUUCUGGGUCCAGGGGAAGCAAAGUAAAGUGGGGUUGUGGGGAGUGUGCAGAGCCCUGUGCACAGAUGUGACAUCCAGUGCAGUGUGAUCACCCAGGGAAGGGUCUUACCCCUGGAGAGGUGGGGUUGCAGGGAAGGGGGCAUGGAGGAAUGUGUAUGCCACCUUGACCUUUUUGGUUGUGGAGAGAAUGGAAUAAGAAUUGGGGGAGAGGCAGGAUUUCAGCGAGGGGUGUCACAGGGGUCUGAUGUUGGGGUAGUCAUCACAAGAUGAAUCAAGGACAGAUCGGGCUGUGUUUGGAUGGUUGUGAGGAUCAGAGAGGAGGAAUGAAAGACACCCUUGGGUGCUUUCUUAUAACCCUGUGAUGUUUGUCACUACUUUAAGAAAGCCUUAGUAAAAUCUCUGCAGGAGAGCCCCUGAGAAAAAGUCAGAAAGGCUGUAGUGUAUGAAUUACCCCAGGGAAAGCCUGCUUUUCCCUACCAUAGAGUGUGGCGUGCCGCAUAUCUCUCUUGAACUUGUGUUUGGUUCCCGCGCUGCUCCCACAACAAGGACUGUAGGGGCGGGUACAGGUGGGGCUCCAGUGAAGGGUGGGGGUUCUCAGGUAUGAUGCGUUUACAGCCUGCAUUGAGGCUAUAUGAUGCCCCUCGUUUGGAGAUUCCAAGAGGAAUUUUAAGUUUAUUCCACCAGAG
ensembl:lincRNA